rnacentral:piRNA from 1 species
UUCUUGAUUCUCAGAGCGGUAGUUUGAAGA